rnacentral:misc_RNA from 1 species
GUUGGCUAGAAUUGUGUGGUUUUUGCUGCUUCUGCAAUUGUUGCUGAAAUAAGAUGAACUCAUCAGGCUUCUCCCAUCUACUUUCACAAGUUGUGCAGUUAUAAUAGUACUUAUACCCAUCAGGGCAGGCAUGCUCACUCCAAUCGCACUCUUGUAGAUCCACUGUCUGGGGACUUGGAGGUACUGCAAGUGUAGCAGAAGUAACACUCACUGCUGGA